UCACUGGGACCUUCACAGUAGCAGAAUUGUUUCUGUACCCUUCCCCGAGUUUGUGCCUUGAGACAAUCCUGCCUCAGAUGUCUACAGAUAAUUCGUUUAACUUUAUGCAUGAUUUGUACACUGACAUGCACUGUCAACUGUGGGAUCUUAUAUGUAGACAGGUGUGUGUGUGUGCCUUUCUAAAUCAUGUCCAAUCAACUGAAUUUUUCCCAGGUGGACUACAACUAAGCUGAAGAAAUAUCUCAAGAAUGAUCAGUGGAAACCGGAUGGACCCAAGCUCAAUUUUGAGCUUCAUGGCAUAGGUUGUGAAUACUUAUGUACAUGCUAUUUCUUAGGGUUUUUAAUUUUGAUAAAUUUGCAAA